rnacentral:rRNA from 1 species
UGGGGAAUAUUGGACAAUGGGCGCAAGCCUGAUCCAGCCAUGCCGCGUGAGUGACGAAGGCCUUAGGGUUGUAAAGCUCUUUUGGCGGGGAAGAUAAUGACGGUACCCGCAGAAUAAGCUCCGGCUAACUUCGUGCCAGCAGCCGCGGUAAUACGAAGGGAGCUAGCGUUGUUCGGAAUCACUGGGCGUAAAGCGCAUGUAGGUGGGCAGUUAAGUCAGGGGUGAAAGCCCGAGGCUCAACCUCGGAAUUGCCUCUGAUACUGGCUGUCUAGAGUUCGAGAGAGGUGAGUGGAAUUCCUAGUGUAGAGGUGAAAUUCGUAGAUAUUAGGAAGAACACCGGUGGCGAAGGCGGCUCACUGGCUCGAUACUGACACUGAGGUGCGAAAGCGUGGGGAGCAAACAGGAUUAGAUACCCUUGUAGUCCCUGAGCGGGCUGGCAAGGCGCAU